GCAACAUCAUCUUGCUUUGCAUCAAGGAAUCACCAGAUUUACGCCCACCAAUUAGAGUUAUAACAGACAAAUUAGUAAAGCUUGUCCAGUCAACAGGCCUUCAAAAGACCAAUGCAGCACAUCAAUUGGAGGCUGAUGCUCAGGACCCCUCUUUUAUAACAACCCGGCCAUAUUUUGAGCCAUCGUCCACUGUCAGUCAGGCUGCAACUGAGAGCUUCAUCGCCCGCUGACGAAGAUCUGCUCUUCUCCUCGAAUGGCAUCACAUAUCAUGCUACUUUGUGUUCUCAACGUAACUUGGAGUAUCUGAAGCGUUGCGGCUCUUCUCAAAUUUUCCGCAAUGCAAAUUGGUGACACCCAAAGCUGCUGAGCUGAGACGC